rnacentral:pre_miRNA from 13 species
AUCAAUUCUACACAACAUUUAUGGGGUUAAACUGUACGUUGUAUGUGCAAAUCUUAAGAAAUCCAUAAGCGUAUAGCUUUUCCCCUUAAAAGUUGAUGUUAAAUCAA